UGGGCAACCUGCCCCUCUCUCUGGGAUAACCCCGGGAAACCGGAGCUAAUACCGGAUACUCCGGCUGGAUCGCAUGGUCCGGCCGGGAAAGGUCCGCCGGAGAGGGAUGGGCCCGCGGCCCAUCAGCUUGUUGGUGAGGUCACGGCUCACCAAGGCUACGACGGGUAGCUGGUCUGAGAGGACGACCAGCCACACUGGAACUGAGAUACGGUCCAGACUCCUACGGGAGGCA
rnacentral:rRNA from 1 species